GACGAACGCUGGCGGCGUGCCUAACACAUGCAAGUCGAACGGAAAGGCCCUGCUUUUGUGGGGUGCUCGAGUGGCGAACGGGUGAGCAACACGUGAGUAACCUGCCCUUGACUUUGGGAUAACUUCAGGAAACUGGGGCUAAUACCGGAUAGGAGCUCCUGCUGCAUGGUGGGGGUUGGAAAGUUUCGGCGGUUGGGGAUGGACUCGCGGCUUAUCAGCUUGUUGGUGGGGUAGUGGCUUACCAAGGCUUUGACGGGUAGCCGGCCUGAGAGGGUGACCGGCCACAUUGGGACUGAGAUACGGCCCAGACUCCUACGGGAGGCAGCAGUGGGGAAUAUUGCACAAUGGGCGGAAGCCUGAUGCAGCAACGCCGCGUGCGGGAUGACGGCCUUCGGGUCGUAAACCGCUUUCGCCUGUGACGAAGCGUGAGUGACGGUAAUGGGUAAAGAAGCACCGGCUAACUACGUG
rnacentral:rRNA from 1 species